AUGUUUCCCAUCGGUAUUAUUAAACCAUUUCCCAGCUACUUCAUGAAUGUUCCCAUCGGUAUUAUUAAACCAUUUCCCAGCUACUUCAUGAAUGUUCCCAUCGGUAUUAUUAAAACAUUUCCUAGCUACUUCAUGAAUGUUCCCAUCGGUAUUAUUAAAACAUUUCCUAGCUACUUCAUGAAUGUACCCAUCAGUAUUAUUUAAAAAAUUCUUAGCUACUUCAUGAAUGUUCCCAUUGGUGUUAUUAAAACAUUUCCUAGCUACUUUAUGAAUGUUCCCAUCAGUGUUAUUAAAACAUUUCCCAGCUACUUCAUGAAUGUUUCCCAUUUGUAUUAUUAAACCAUUUCCUAGCUACUUCAUGAAUGUACCCAUCAGUAUUAUUAAAACAUUUCCCAGCUACUUCAUGAAUGUUCCAUCGGCAUUAUUAAAACAUUUCCGAGCUUCUUCAUGAAUGUACCCAUCUGUAUUAUUAAAACAUUUCCUUGCUACUUCAUGAAUGAAUGUCAGAAAAAAAAACACAGAUGCUGAUUUGUAAUAAUAAUUUGAUUAAUGCAAAAUUUUUGUAUCUGAAUAAAGAUUAAAUUAAU
rnacentral:lncRNA from 13 species